rnacentral:lncRNA from 1 species
CUUCCUCCACCUUGGCCGGGAGGAGGGCCUUGUGCGACGAUCCCAGUCCCGCGGGGCCUGGUAGGAGGCGGCCCCGAGCUCUGGCCCGCCGGUGCGGGACGCGCUCCCGGCCCAUGCACUGCGCGCGGGCUGCGGGGCACCGGGCGCCGUCCCAGCCCUGCGGCUCUGUCACGCUUGUCAUCAGGGUUCUCGGGUGCAGGGGCGGGCCACAGCGCCGCCAUCGCUCAGAACCCAGGGAAAGAUGAUCCCUCAACCGUCCGGCCAAAAGCAACCACGAGACUCGGGUUCUCGAAUGAACUUGGGUCGAGGGCACACGGGAAGAGCGAGUUUUGUUUUCAGCUCUGAAAGAAGAAACUUCGCGUUCAAAACAAGAAUGUAGUCAGCGCCGUGGAAUCUUCACUGUGGGCUCCGGGAGGUCCCUCGGCUCCCGCUCUUCCAACCUUUCUGCGAGUUUAUAAAAUAUUGGGAGGGCUGAGGAUGGCGCUCAGUGGUAUAGCGCCUGCACCAAACCCUGGGCUCGCUCCAACCAACCACCUCAAAAUCCAAAGUAAAAUAUGGGGGAAAACUAAACUUGGAAUAAAAAUCGCUGGUUCUGUUCUGAAAAGCCCCACCCCCAUCCCUGUGGGGCUUCCUAGAGAGAAAUCCUUUGGAAUCGGUAAACAGAAGGUGUUUAUCCAGAUGGCCCCUACUUCCUGUUGGUAUACCAGGGCCACACACCUAAUUGCCACCCAGGUGUAUUAAAUGAACGUGCUUUGUUGUUUGACACACGGUGUCACUCAGUCUUUUACCUUGAGGCAAUCCUCCUGCCUCAGCUUCACACAUGCUGGGAUCACAAGGGCACCCUGCCACAGUGCCUGUCUACUUUAAUUGGUUUUGAUGUUUCUUCAGCUCUGCAGGCAAACAUUCUGGCCUGGAGUCAACAAGCUGUUGGUAGGAGCAUUGCCUAGCAAUGCUUUGGCUAAGAGUCCGGAAUAUUCUGGAACCUCAUGGUGCCCAGGGAAGGAAAUUUCAGAGAGCAAGCCUGGGGAACUUGUGGAUUCAACCACAAAGUUCCUGCAACCCCUGGACCUGAGAUACCUUCUGGCCUGGCCCUUUUAUAUGGGGUGCAGUCUAUCAUCCAGUCUUGGAGUUGCUCUCCAAGACAAGUUGGUUGUUGGUAAAACCAGGACUAGAUUUCACUUAUCUGCCCCCAGAUGUUGUUCAGUCAAGUUCCAACACCACUGUCACUUCUUCCAGGACCACUAAAGCCAAGAGGACAUAGGUCUGGAUAGUUGGGCAUCACAGAGAGGAAACAGCCACCCC